rnacentral:rRNA from 1 species
UCUACCCGAAGGUGGUGCGCUAACUCGCAAGAGAGGCAGCCAACCACGGUAGGCUCAGCGACUGGGGUGAAGUCGUAACAAGGUAGCCGUAGGUGAACCUGCAGAAGGAUCA